UGGGGAAUUUUGCACAAUGGGCGCAAGCCUGAUGCAGCGACGCCGCGUGAGGGAUGAAGGCCUUCGGGUUGUAAACCUUUUUCGCUCAUGGUCAAGCCGCAGUUUUGGGUUGUGGUGAGGGUAGUGGGUAAAGAAGCGCCGGCUAACUACGUGCCAGCAGCCGCGGUAAUACGUAGGGCGCGAGCGUUGUCCGGUAUUAUUGGGCGUAAAGGGUGCGUAGGUGGUCUUUCAAGUCGGUUGUUAAAGGCUACGGCUCAACGGUAGUUGGCCUCCGAAACUGGAAGACUUGAGUGCAGGGGAGGGAAGUGGAAUUCCCGGUGUAGCGGUGAAAUGCGUAGAUAUUGGGAGGAACACCAGUAGCGAAGGCGGCUUUCUGGACUUGAACUGACGCUGAGGCACGAAAGCGUGGGGAGCAAACAGG
rnacentral:rRNA from 1 species